ensembl:lncRNA
ACGAGGGAGCUCUCUCCCUGCCCAGAAUCAGGGCGGUUGAAUGUGAAAGGGUCCUACAAAUGUGGUCAUGCCGUGUUUUAAACUGUCUGUAACCAAUUGCUAUGACUUUUGCACAAACCCAUCCCGGAGGUCCGAGUGCCAAAGCUGCCCUUCAUGACUCGCGUCCACAGCCUGAAAAGCCCCUAGUGGAUCCUACCUCUGUGGCUGCUGCGACAGAGCUGCUGCCUUACCUGAGGCUUCCACGAACAACAGAGUGCAGGAAACAAGGCUCAAGAAAUGUUGCAUGGCUUGGUCUUUCACGUGACUCAGAAGAGGCAAAAGUGAAAUCUGAAAUCCUGCUGACUCUAAAGCCUGUGCCCUCAACCAUUAGGUUUUGUAGCGUUUCCACUCCUUCUGUUUUGCUUCCCUGUCUGGGCUCCUUCCUAGUUCAAGAUGGACAGUCAUCCAUAAGUUCCAUGUCACAUCUGUCAUCCUGCGUUCAAAGACAGAAAUGACUUCCUUCCACCUUUGCCCUCAGAACUCCUAGUGCUGGUCCGUAAAGUGACAUGUGGCAGCUGUGCUCAAAGGUCGGGGUCAGAAGCAGGGCGCCCCAUGGCUGGCUGUGGGCAGGGCCUGACUGCCUCAACAAAGGGGCCCGUCUUUUCCUCCAAUCCAUCAGAUCCAUCCCAGAGGGUUGGGCUGGGCUGGCCUCUCAGAUGACUCUGGGUGUAGAGACACACUGACCGUGCAGCUUUCCCUCCCGUCGGGGCUCCCUCGCUCUGGCCCAGGCACUUAGAGACACCAUGCCCCUCCUCUUUGUGUUCCUGCAUCCGCCUGGCGGCCUCCUCCUCCUUUCUUUGUGGCCCUCUCUCCCUCUGGCUCCCUUUGCUGGCUUUAUUCCUCCCAGGCUUCCUGUCACACUAAGCUCUUUG